UACAGAGGGGGCAAGCGUUGUUCGGAAUUACUGGGCGUAAAGGGCGCGUAGGCGGCCUUCUAAGUCGAACGUGAAAUCCCCGGGCUCAACCCGGGAACUGCGUCCGAUACUGGAAGGCUUGAAUCCGGGAGAGGGAUGCGGAAUCCCAGGUGUAGCGGUGAAAUGCGUAGAUAUCUGGAGGAACACCGGUGGCGAAGGCGGCAUCCUGGACCGGUAUUGACGCUGAGGCGCGGAAGCCAGGGGAGCAAACGGG
rnacentral:rRNA from 1 species